rnacentral:rRNA from 1 species
UUCUUCGGAAGAUAGUACGGUGGCGGACGGGUGAGUAACGCGUAAAGAAUUUGCCCUUCAGACUGGGACAACUAAUCGAAAGGUUAGCUAAUACCGGAUAUUAUGAGACCUUGGCAUCAAGGACUUAUGAAAGCUAUAUGCGCUGAAGGAGAACUUUGCGUUCCAUUAGGUAGUUGGUAGGGUAAUGGCCUACCAAGCCGACGAUGGAUAGCCGGCCUGAGAGGGUGAACGGCCACAAGGGGACUGAGACACGGCCCUUACUCCUACGGGAGGCAGCAGUGGGGAAUAUUGGACAAUGGACCAAAAGUCUGAUCCAGCAAUUCUGUGUGCACGAUGAAGGUCUUCGGAUUGUAAAGUGCUUUCAGGUGGGAAGAAAGAAGUGACGGUACCACC